UGGGGAAUAUUGCACAAUGGGGGAAACCCUGAUGCAGCGACGCCGCGUGAACGAAGAAGGUAUUCGUAUCGUAAAGUUCUGUCCUAUGGGCAGAUAAUGACAGUACCAUAGAAGAAAGCUCCGGCUAAAUACGUGCCAGCAGCCGCGGUAAUACGUAUGGAGCGAGCGUGGUCUGGCAUUAUUGGGCGAAAAGGGUACGCAGGCGGUUUAAUAAGUCGAAUGUUAAAGAUCGGGGCUCAACCCCGCAAAGCAUUGGAAACUGAUAAACUUGAGUAGUGGAGAGGAAAGUGGAAUUCCUAGUGUAGUGGUGAAAUACGUAGAUAUUAGGAGGAAUACCAGUAGCGAAGGCGACUUUCUGGACACAAACUGACGCUGAGGUACGAAAGCGUGGGGAUCAAACAGG
rnacentral:rRNA from 1 species